UACGUAGGGUGCAAGCGUUGUCCGGAAUUAUUGGGCGUAAAGAGCUCGUAGGCGGUUUGUCGCGUCGGCUGUGAAAACUCGGGGCUCAACCCCGGACUUGCAGUGGGUACGGGCAGACUAGAGUGUGGUAGGGGGAGACUGGAAUUCCUGGUGUAGCGGUGAAAUGCGCAGAUAUCAGGAGGAACACCGAUGGCGAAGGCAGGUCUCUGGGCCACUACUGA
rnacentral:rRNA from 1 species